rnacentral:lncRNA from 1 species
CGCCCCCACCAGCCCGGCGCCCCCUCCAGCCCAGUGCCUCCCCAAGCCCGGUGCCUCCCACCAGCGUGACAAGCCAUGGGUCCCCCACUUCAAGGCCCACAUUUUUUUAUUAGCUGAGGUCGUGGUAGCUGUUGUACCACCUCACUAAGCGCGUCUUUUUCUGUAGUUUUGAUGCUGACGUCUUGCCCAUUCCUGUGCCCCGACCACCCAGCUGCGUGGAGCAGCCCCCACUCUCUGUGGAUAAAAGAACUUUCUUCCUACAAGACGGUCAUUCCUGCGUCUGUGUGUUACCCUCCCUGAUUACAACAAAUCCUAGGCUCAUUUUAAAAAGAUACAGGCCCCACAUUUAGGAGGCUGCAGCCCAAACCUCUGCAGCCAGCAUCCUAUGUCUUCGCUGCAGUUUAUGGCAAGACCCUGGAGACCUGGUGAGAGCACAGCCCUGGUGUCCUCCUCCGUGGCCCCCCUCAUCCCCCUCUGUCAGGUGUGUAGCCCCCACUCCAAGCGUGAUCUUCAGCCCCCGGCCCUGUCCCUCAGCAGCACAGGUGAUAAGCCCCUCCGUCCGGAAGCACUGUCUUUACUUGGCCACCAAGACCCCCAACUUGACCGCACCCCCACUUGCCAGCCAUCCCCUCUGCCCUGCCUGUGCUUCCUACCACUGUGCAGGCCCAGCUUGUGCCCCCCUUGGGGCUGAGCCCCGGCGGGCACCCAUGUCCUCCAGCUGUGAGCACUUUCCUCUAUGGUGUUUGCUCUUCCCUCUGGGACAUGGCCAUGGGGCCCCUCAGAAUGGCACAUAUUGGGCACCACGUGACUUCAGGUAGAAUGACUGAGGGACCAGCCCAGCACAGCCAGGCAGGGCAGCGAGAGGCCGGGCAGGACACCCUCCGACCACUCUGAGGACAGGGAUGGCUGCAGAGCCAAUGCAGGCUCACACGCAGGGACAGACAGCUGGAGGCUGAGCCCAGGCGCAGGACUUCAGAGCCACCAGCCACAACCACACCCAAGGCCAUGGGGUAGACAAGGGCAGUGUGGACUGAGCGGUCAGGGUCCCCAUGAGAUAAACAGGAACCACUCAGAAACACUUCUCUCCUGCCAGGAGCGGUGGCCUACGCCUGUAAUCCCGGCACUUUGGGAGGUAGAGGCAGGCAGAUCACUUGAGCCCAGGAGUUUGGGACCAGCCUGGGCGGCAUGGUGAAACCCUGCGUCUACUAAAAAUGAAAAUACAAAAAUUAGCUGGGCAUGGUGGCACGCGCCUGUAGUCUCAGCCACUCAGGAGGCUGAGAUGGGAGGAUUAGUUGAUCCCGGAAGAUCGAGGCUGCAGUCCCAGCCACUCAGGAGGCUGAGGUGGGAGGAUGACUUGAUCCCGGAAGAUCAAGGCUGCAGUCCCAGCCACUCAGGAGGCUGAGGUGGGAGGAUGACUUGAUCCUGGAAGAUGGAGGCUGCAGUGAGCUGACUGUGCCACUGAGUGACAGAGCAACAUCUUGUCUCAAAAAAAAAAAAAAAAAAAAGAGAAACCCUCCUGUCCAACCAAGGCGGGACUUCAGAGGCCGUAGGACACAUUCCCUGGGCUCCAGGGGGAGGUGCGACCACCACAGGCCCCAGAGGUUGUGAUCCUGACCUGGCCGGAGUCCCAACCAGCCUCAUCCCUCAAGGCAGGGUCAGCCAGGACCAGGUGAAGGAGCCCUGAAGUAGUGCAGAAAGGGAAGCAGAGGCCAGGAAGGCUGAGCCAGCCGGAACAGAAUAGGCAAGCGUAUGAGACACUGCACUUCCAUCUCAUUAAUCGUUUUUUCUUUUUCAUAUAGGGUCUCACUCUGUUGCCCAGGCUGGAGUGCAGUAACAAGAUCAUAGCUCACUUGGCCUCAUAGCCUUGGUCUCCAGGCUCAAGCGAUCCUCCUGUCUCGGCCUCCCUUCUAUGUAGCUGGGACUACAGGCACAUGCCACUACACCCAGCUGCUUUUUUUAUUUUUUGUAGUGGUGGGGCCUCCCUAUGUUGCCCAGGCUGGUCUUGAUCUCCCAGGCUCAUGCAAUCCUCCCAUCCAGGCCUCCCAAAGCGCUGGGAUUACAGGCAUGAGCCACUGCAUCCAGCUGCACCACCUCUUAAUAAACAUUAGUUUUGGCCGGGCACAGUGGUUCAUGCCUGUAAUCCCAGCACUUUGGGAGGCCGAGGCGGGUGGAUCACCUGAGGUCAGGAGUUCAAGACCAGCCUGACCAAUACGAUGAAACCCCAUCUCUACUAAAAAUACAAAAAUUGGCCGGGCAUGGUGGCGCACUGCUGUAAUCCCAGCUACUCAGAAGGCUGAGGCAGGAGAAUCGCUUGAACCCGGGAGGCGGAGGUUGCAGUGAGCCGAAACUGCGCCACUGUACUCCAGCCUGGGUGACAAGAGCAAGACUCUGUCUUAAAAAAAAAAAAAUUUCUAGUUUUGUUGAAGUUUAUUGCACCUUCCAGUAAGCGCACUUGGUCUCACGCGCCAGGUGACCUCUGCUGUUUCCUGUGAGGCCAUCUUCGCCUCUGUCUUCCUGGGAAGCAAACUGCACUGUCCUUACACAGAUGCUGGCUCGUCCAGGGUGCAGGGCCCUACUGCCCCAGCCAGGCCGACACCGUGGGCCUCCAGGCUGUUCCGUGGGUCUGGGGCAGGUCGCAAGACAGAAGGGAAAAGCUGCAGCUGGCCUUAAGACAGGAAGUCUAUGGGGACAGAGGGGAUGGGGGUCUUGAGGAUGACUCGGGCUCCUGAAGGCAGGGGAGGGAGGCAGGAGAGUGUCAGAGAGGCAGUGUUGUGAGGACCUCCAUGCCUGCUCUGAGCUGGGGGCCACACAGCCCUGCCUGCCCAUCCAGCUUUAACCCUGUGGACUGGCAACCCCCGACCCACAGAACAAGAGGGCGUGACUUCAGGCGACUCGAGCCACUGCAUGUGUGAUAACAACUAGAGCUGAAGGCCCUCUCCACCGCCAGCAUCAUGGGGGCACACGCGCACCCAGGACUUGGACUGCCCUGAAUUCACGCAUCACAUCGAGAGGUGACAACUCCAUGACAAUAAGCCUGCUUUUGUGCUCGUAAAAAUCAAGUCCCCCAGGCCCGUGAGAGUCCUGGUUCUGUGGCAGUUUAUAAAAAGCAGGGCUUCAAGUGGACUUGCUCCCAGCCCAAGAAGAGCCCUGUCCGGCAGUCGAGGGUUGCUGAGAGCACGGGGGACUUUCAGAGGCUGCAGGUGGAGGAGGGUUGAGGUCUGAGGGCCUGGAACAGAGCUGGAACCAGCAGGUGGAGGUGGCAGGAGCCCUUAGGAGGAGCUGGCGGAGGGGCCGGAGGGUGGCGCAGGCCAGGGAGCAUUUGCACAAAUCCUGGUGGCCCACAGGAGGCCCAGCUGCAUGAGAGGGUCAGAGAGGUGCUCCUGAAAGGGAGGCCUUGCUGGCCACGGCCAGGUCUUGCCGGUGCUCCUGGGUCCCAUGCACCGGAAUGGGAAGGCAGGCGGUCUAGGCGUGUCCACCCCUGGGACCAAGGAGGCCCAGACAGGCUGAGACUGGAGCUGGAGCCCCAGGUGUGUGCUGUCACUCAGGGAUGAGCUGAGCUUGCUGAGCAGCCUCUGGAACAAAGCCCCUCUGUCCAUGCUGUGCCUCCCCACCCGGAGCACCACCUCCCGGGAAGGAGCAGAGCCCCGGGCUCCCAUCCGGCGCACCCACCAGGCACAGCCUUGGCCGGAGG